rnacentral:rRNA from 1 species
GCGGCGUGCUUAAGGUAUGCAAGUCAAACCCGCGCAAGUGGGUGGCGAACGGCUGAGUAAUACGUAGGAAUCUACCUCUAAGUAAGGCAUAACCCAUCGAAAGAUGGGAUAAUUCCUUAUGUGAUGGCAACAUCAAAGAUUUAUCGCUUAGAGAUGAGCCUGCGGCCUAUCAGGUAGUUGGUUGGGUAAAGGCCUACCAAGCCUAUGACGGGUAGCUGGUAUAAGUGUAUGACCAGCCAGAGGGGCACUGAGAUACGGGCCUCACCCCUACGGGGGGCAGCAAUCGGGAAUUUUGCGCAAUGGACGAAAGUCUGACGCAGCGACGCCGCGUGAAGGAUUAAGGCCUUCGGGUUGUAAACUUCGUUGUAAGCACCGGCUAACUACGUGCCAGCAGCAGCGGUCAUACGUAGGGUGCAAGCAUUACCCGGUCUUAUUGGGCGUAAAGAGUUCUGUAGGCGGUUGGAUAAGUUGGAAGUUAAAUAUCUCGGCUCAACCGAGACAAGGCUUUCAAUACUAUUUGACUUGGAGGUAACUAGGGGGUAGCGGAACGCAUGGUGUAGCAGUGAAAUGCGUUGAUAUCAUGCGGAACACCCAAGGGGGAAGCCAGCUACCUGGGGUUAUCCUGACGCUGAGAGACGAAAGCGUGGGGAGCGAAACGGAUUAGAUACCCGUGUAGUCCACGCUGUAAACCAUGCCUGCUAGAUGCUCCGCUUUUGUGGGGUGUCGAAGCUAACGCGUUAAGCAGGCCGCCUGGGAAGUACGAUCGCAAGAUUAAAACUCAAAGGAAUUGGCGGGGACCCGCACAAGCGGUGGAGCAUGCUCUUUAAUUGGCUGAUAACCCAAGAACCUUACCAGGGCUUGACAUGCAUUUAGUAGUGAACCGAAAGGGGAACGACCGGUAUCCAAUCCGGAGUUUGCACAGGUGUUGCAUGCCUGUCGUCAGUUCGUACCGUGAGGCGUACCCUUAAGUGGGUUAACGAACGCAACCCCUACUGUUAGUUGUAUCACUCUAACGGAACUGCCUCGGCAACGAGGAGGAAGGUGGGGAUGACGUCAAGUCAGUAUUGCUCUUACGCUCUGGGCUAGAAGCAUGCUACAAUGGGGGCGACAACGCGACGCGAAGAGGCAACUCGGAGCAAAUCGCUAAACGCUCUCUCAGUUCGGAUUGGAGUCUGCAAUUCGACUCCAUGAAGUUGGAAUCGCUAGUAAUCGGCGGU